GCGUGUGUGAAGAAGGCCUGCGGGUUGUAAAGCACUUUCAGUUGGGAAGAAAAGCUUGAGGUUAAUACCCUUGAGUAUUGACGUUACUAACAGAAGAAGCACCGGCUAACUCUGUGCCAGCAGCCGCGGUAAUACAGAGGGUGCAAGCGUUAAUCGGAAUUACUGGGCGUAAAGCGUACGUAGGUGGCUUGGCCAGUCGGGUGUGAAAGCCCAAGGCUUAACCUUGGAAUUGCAUUCGAUACUACCAAGCUAGAGUACAGUAGAGGAAAGCGGAAUUCUUAGUGUAGCGGUGAAAUGCGU
rnacentral:rRNA from 1 species